CCCCCCGGCAAUGGGCAAAGAGACACUUUGUUGGUGGUGGUGUUCUUCCAUCACUCAGGGCAGAGCAGAUGGCAGUCCUUUGUUCAUCCUAGCUUGAUGCCUGGCUUGGUGGACAAAACUGUCUUGUGUAUAGGACACAUAA